AGAGUUUGAUCAUGGCUCAGGAUGAACGCUAGCUACAGGCUUAACACAUGCAAGUCGAGGGGAAACGACAUCGAAAGCUUGCUUUUGAUGGGCGUCGACCGGCGCACGGGUGAGUAACGCGUAUCCAACCUGCCCAUCACUUGGGGAUAACCUUGCGAAAGUAAGACUAAUACCCAAUGAUAUCUCUAGAAGGCAUCUGAAAGAGAUUAAAGAUUUAUCGGUGAUGGAUGGGGAUGCGUCUGAUUAGCUUGUUGGCGGGGUAACGGCCACCAAAGCAACGAUCAGUAGGGUUCUGAGAGGAACGGUCCCCANAUUGGAACUGAGACACGGUCCAAACUCCGUACGGGAGCA
rnacentral:rRNA from 1 species